CAGAAGCUGAGGUGACAAUUUCAUGGAAAGCAGAGACUGGACAGAUUAAAGCUAAGGUGGGACCUAAAGGAGAGUUAGAUGCUGAAGCAGCUGAAGCUGAGUUGACAGUUGCAUGGAAAGCAGAAACUAGACAGGUCAAAGCUAAAAUGGCACCUAAAGAGGAGUUAUAUGCUGAAGAAGCAGAAGCUGAAAUGAUACUUAAAAAAGAGGCAGAAACUGGACAACCAGACAAGAUAGUAACUGAAGGGUGGUUAGAUGUUGCAGAAGCAGAAGCUGAGUUGACAGUUAAGGGAAAAGCAAAAACUAUAGAGGCAGAAUCUCAUAAGAUAGCUGAAAGGGAAUUAGAAGUCAAAAUGGCAGAAUCUGAGGGGAUACUUAAAAAGGGGACAGAAGGCAAGGUCGCCUUGAAAUGGAAGCCAGAUACUGGAGAGGCUGAGGUGAUAUCUAAAGGGGAAUUAGAAUUUGAAGAAGCAGAAGCUGAGUUGCCAUUUAAAGAAAAAGCAAUAGAGAAAACACUUAAACCAAAGGCAGUAAUUAUAGAGGAAGAGGCUGAUGUGAUACCUAAAGAGGAAUUAGACGUCAAAGAGGCAGAAACUGAGGGGACGCUUAAAAGGGAGGCAGAAACUGGAUUGGCCAAAGGUAAGGUGGUGCCUAAAGAGAAGUUAGGUGCUGAAGAAGCAGAAGCGGAGAUGAUACUUAAGAGGAAAGGAGAAAGUAUGGAAGCAGAGUCUGAAAUAAUAGCUGGAAAGGACUUAGAAGCAGAAGAGGCAGAAGCUGAGGGGACACUUAAAAAGAAGGCAGAAGGCAAGGUAGCCUUGGAACAGAAGGCAAAAGCUGUAAAGCCAGAGACUGAGGAAGCGUUUGAAGAGGAGGCAGAAGUUAAAGUUGUACCAAAACGCCAGGAAACAGAAGAUUCAGAAGCAAAGGGAGAAGUGCUUUCUGUGGUUAUAGGAGCUCUGAAUGAAACCACCUUUGGAGAUCAAGGGUUAGUCACCAGGAGAGAAGAAAUUAUAGCAGAAAUAAAACAUACUUCUGAAUCAGCCCCACAAAAAGAAACAUUUAUUGGAGGAGAUAUGAAAAAGCAGGAGAUGAAAAAAGAACCUGGUCUCCAAACUGGAGUAUCUGACAAAGCUGAAACAAGGGAAACAUUUCUUUACAUGGAAGUACAGGAGGAAGUCAUAGCUCCUGAAGAAGAGAAGGAACAGGAUGAAUCAGACACAGGAGAAGAGAUGAGAGAAGGGAUGAUAACACUUGCAGAUGUAGAAGAAGCUCUCUUAAUAGGGAUACAGCAGCUGAUAACAGAAGUAUCACAGAUCAAUGAAAAAGAUAAAGAUAAAGAAGAACCUCUGAUGGAAAGAUCAGCAGAAGAGGAAUCACCUCAGGAGUGUGCUACAAGUGAAGAUUUUUUUGCUAUUGUAGUAAAUGAAGAAAGGGAGACCAUUGAGAGCAGUAACAGUGAGGGAGAAGGAAUUGGGGAGCAUUCAGAAGAAGAAACAGGAGAGCCUUCAGAAGAAGGAACAGGGGAGCCUUCAGAAGAAGGAACAAGGGAGCCUUCGGAAGAAGAAACAAGGGAGACUUCGGAAGAAGGAACAGGGGAGCCUUCAGAAGAAACCCCUUCAGAUGAAAAAGAUGGAAAUAUAAACUGUGAAAUGGGAUUGGAGGAGACUACAGAUGAAACAAUCACAAUGACAAAUACCAUUCUUUGGAGCUCCCAGGAGUAUGAAAGAGAGUGUCACCAAGAUCCUACUGGAUCUGAUUGAGAAGGC
ensembl:lncRNA